rnacentral:lncRNA from 1 species
GUUUUAAAAAUGUAUCCGAUGACCCCGUCAAUCAAUCAAGUCUAAAAAAGAUCAUGGCGGAUAUAUGCAGUUUGGCCUAUAUUUCUGAAAGUAUCAAACUAAAGCAUUUAGAGCAAACCUACAUGGAGUAAAAUGUUCAUAAGGUCAAGCUCUAUAUGCCUUCAAAUUUUCAGACUCAUCAGACAACCCGUUGUUGGAUUGCCGCCCCUGAAUGGAAAUUUUGUAGUUUUUGGUUAUUAUCCUGAAUAUUAUAAAAGAUAGAGAUGAACUGUAAUCAGCAAAAAUAUUCAGGAAAGUAAUAUCUACAAAUUGUCAAUUGAUCCCAUUAGGAGUUUUCCCC